rnacentral:rRNA from 1 species
GAUGAACGCUGGCGGCGUGCCUAAUACAUGCAAGUCGAGCGAACAGACGAGGAGCUUGCUCCUCUGACGUUAGCGGCGGACGGGUGAGUAACACGUGGAUAACCUACCUAUAAGACUGGGAUAACUUCGGGAAACCGGAGCUAAUACCGGAUAAUAUAUUGAACCGCAUGGUUCAAUAGUGAAAGACGGUUUUGCUGUCACUUAUAGAUGGAUCCGCGCCGCAUUAGCUAGUUGGUAAGGUAACGGCUUACCAAGGCGACGAUGCGUAGCCGACCUGAGAGGGUGAUCGGCCACACUGGAACUGGGACACGGUCCAGACUCCUACGGGAGGCAGCAGUAGGGAAUCUUCCGCAACGGGCGAAAGCCUGACGGAGCAACGCCGCGUGAGUGAUGAAGGUCUUCGGAUCGUAAAACUCUGUUAUUAGGGAAGAACAAAUGUGUAAGUAACUAUGCACGUCUUGACGGUACCUAAUCAGAAAGCCACGGCUAACUACGUG